GACGAACGCUGGCGGCGUGCCUAAUACAUGCAAGUGGGACGCAAGGGAACACACUGUGCUUGCACACCGUGCUUUCUUGAGUCGCGAACGGGUGAGUAACGCGUAGGUAACCUGCCUAUUAGCGGGGGAUAACUAUUGGAAACGAUAGCUAAUACCGCAUAAUAUUAAUUAUUGCAUGAUAAUUGAUUGAAAGAUGCAAGCGCAUCACUAGUAGAUGGACCUGCGUUGUAUUAGCUAGUUGGUAAGGUAAGAGCUUACCAAGGCGACGAUACAUAGCCGACCUGAGAGGGUGAUCGGCCACACUGGGACUGAGACACGGCCCAGACUCCUACGGGAGGCAGCAGUAGGGAAUCUUCGGCAAUGGACGAAAGUCUGACCGAGCAACGCCGCGUGAGUGAAGAAGGUUUUCGGAUCGUAAAGCUCUGUUGUAAGUCAAGAACGUGUGUGAGAGUGGAAAGUUCACACAGUGACG
rnacentral:rRNA from 1 species